CGUACCGAAUGCCCGUCUCUCGUGGCGGCGACGGCGACGGCGUACGGCGGCGGUGGCGGCGGCGACGGCAGGCGGCAGGCGGCGUAUAACGCGUUAAUGAAAAUGGCAACGCGUCGCGACGCCAUGCGGCAGCCUCGACGGGGUACGUACGGCCACAAAUUGCGCUGCUUUAUCAAUCCGAAAUAACGUCGGCGCGAGAACAAUUAGCAACGACGUGAGACUUAUGGGAACUUGGCUGACCUAAGGAAGGAUCACGUUGCGGUAUGGCUGACACAUAGAAGGAUGUAUCCAGGAGAUACCGUGACUGCGAGAGGUGUCGGAGAGUCCAUCGUGACAAACAGUAUAUUUUCAGUUCGCAAGCAGAGGAUAGUGAAAGCAUUAAUUCGCAAAACAAAUGACAUGACAUAUGCAGCAACUUAGAAAUACACAAGGAACCUUCAGGAUAGUCCAAUGAGAAAUAUUUCUGGGAGAGCAGUGCAUUUAUUGUGUUAAAUUUGCUGCAAAACUGCGUUAAUAAAAAAACAUUGUAAAAAAGAAAGAUAUUUUUAGGGAAUAUUAGUACUUUGUUUAUAUUAUAUCCAUUCUGCCUGUGUAAAUACAACAUUGUCUAUUCUGUCACACGUCAAGAUAAAUUAUUCAACAUCUUUUUUAUAACAUUACUUUUGGUUCUUAUUUAGCUUCUUUAUUGUAUGUGUAUGUAUACGUCUGAAUUUAUGUAUUUUGUCUGAAAGGUAAUGGAAAACGUUUACUGUCCUAAAAAAUUUAUUUCAUGUUAGCUUGUAUAAUUAUUUUCAUUAACAGAUGAUUUCUAUGAACUUGUAAAAGGAUAACAUGCAACAUAGUACAAAGUAGAAUAGAUAAUAUACUUAAUAUUUCAAAGUUUGGUUAAUUUAUCUUUUUAGGUGGCUUCUGCUUCCGCAAUGCUAAUUUAUAAUUGCGACAAUCUAUUUUUUAAUCACGUGCAUCACAAUAAAUAAAUAGUAGCGUGCAAUA
rnacentral:lncRNA from 13 species